AGAAGAAUUAUUUUUGUUCGGAAACAAUCUAGAAGUUAAGUAAUUUUCGUCUUAAGAUUUGGACAAGGAUAGUAUUAACGUAUGUGCACAAUGCACAAGGAGGCAACAACUAUGGAACAAGGUAAAGUAAAAUGGUUUAAUGCAGAAAAAGGUUUUGGAUUCAUCGAGCGUGAAGGUGGAGACGACGUAUUCGUACACUUCUCUGCAAUCCAAAGCGAAGGUUUCAAAUCUUUAGACGAAGGUCAAGACGUAACGUUUGAAGUAGAACAAGGCCAACGUGGUCCACAAGCAACUAACGUUGUAAAAGCAUAAUUGUAAAAGCAGACUCCUCUGAGUCUGCUUUUUUU
rnacentral:other from 1 species